UACGUAGGGUCCGAGCGUUGUCCGGAAUUACUGGGCGUAAAGAGCUCGUAGGUGGUUUGUCGCGUUGUUCGUGAAAACUCACAGCUUAACUGUGGGCGUGCGGGCGAUACGGGCAGACUGGAGUACUGCAGGGGAGACUGGAAGUUCCUGGUGUAGCGGUGAAAUGCGCAGAUAUCAGGAGGAACACCGGUGGCGAAGGCGGGUCUCUGGGCCGUAACUGACGCUGAGGAGCGAAAGCGUGGGGAGCGAACAGG
rnacentral:rRNA from 1 species